AAGAGUACGUGAAACCGUUCAGGGGUAAACCUGCGAAACUCGAAUGAACGAACGGAGAGAUUCACCGUCAAUCCUCGGCGUACGAGCGCGUGCCUCGAUGUCGCGUACCGCGGUUUAACGAUCGUGUGUCGAKCGCGGCACRGGUCACGCUCGUCGACGUCCGCGGACGGCGUGCACUUCUCUCUCAGUACAUAUAUAUAUGCAUCGCGACCCGUUCGAUGUCGGCCUAAGCGCCGUGCGGGAGCCUAACGGCCCGGCUCCUAAUCAGGGCUGAGCCGCUAGACCGCGUUCGGUGGCCGGCCGGCCGUCGGACGGUUCAUACGAUAGAAUCGCGCACGCGUGUUCUCCGGAACAGCGCGUCCGGCCCGACGCAAGACCUCGUCGCAGUUCGGCCGUCUGCCCGUGUGCGACACCUAACUCGACGGAUCUGCAUUAAUCGAUAGCUGCCGUGCAGUCUCGGACCGUGCGCGUGUCCAGUCGGCGAUGAUUCAGUUUCGG
rnacentral:rRNA from 1 species